rnacentral:rRNA from 1 species
AUUGAACGCUGGCGGCAGGCCUAACACAUGCAAGUCGAACGGUAACAGGAAACAGCUUGCUGUUUCGCUGACGAGUGGCGGACGGGUGAGUGAUGUCUGGGAAACUGCCUGAUGGAGGGGGAUAACUACUGGAAACGGUAGCUAAUACCGCAUAACGUCGCAAGACCAAAGAGGGGGACCUUCGGGCCUCUUGCCAUCGGAUGUGCCCAGAUGGGAUUAGCUAGUAGGUGGGGUAACGGCUCACCUAGGCGACGAUCCCUCGCUGGUCUGAGAGGAUGACCAGCCACACUGGAACUGAGACACGGUCCAGACUCCUACGGGAGGCAGCAGUGGGGAAUAUUGCACAAUGGGCGCAAGCCUGAUGCAGCCAUGUCGCGUGUAUGAAGAAGGCCUUCGGGUUGUAAAGUACUUUCAGCGGGGAGGAAGGGAGUAAAGUUAAUACCUUUGCUCAUUGACGUUACCCGCAGAAGAAGCACCGGCUAACUCCGUGCCAGCCGCCGCAGUAA